rnacentral:rRNA from 1 species
UACCAGCACCCCGAGUGGUCGGGACGAUUACUGGGCCUAAAGCAUCCGUAGCCGGUUUUACAAGUCCUCCGUUAAAUCCAGCUGCUUAACAGAUGGGCUGCGGAGGAUACUAUAAGACUAGGAGGCAGGAGAGGCAAGCGGUACUCAGUGGGUAGGGGUAAAAUCCGUUGAUCCAUUGAAGACCACCAGUGGCGAAGGCGGCUUGCCAGAAUGCGCUCGACGGUGAGGGAUGAAAGCUGGGGGAGCAAACCGG